rnacentral:tRNA from 1 species
AUGCUUAGCUCAGCUGGUUAGAGCAUCGCCUUUACACGGCGGAGGUCAGGGGUUCGAAUCCCUUAGCAUC